GAGUGUGUAGCUCGAAUAGGUAGAGCGUUGGACUUUUAAUCCAAGGGUUAUGGGUUCGAAUCCCAUCACAUUCA
rnacentral:tRNA from 1 species